rnacentral:hammerhead_ribozyme from 1 species
AUCCAACUGGCGAGUCCCAAAUAGGACGAAACGCACGUUCUGGAU